CUUUCCAAUUGACAGAUACAAGCAAGACAACGUCCUGUGAAAAAACUGUUUUGUCAUUGACACCUUUACUGGGGAGCAAAGCCGAGAGCAGAAACAGCCUCCAGAGGUUAAUUAAUUGUCCACACCCAUGCAUUAACUGCUGUUAAUCAGAAAGCACCGCACAAAACCUGCCUGUAUGCAUGACCCCCUUGGCUGCCCAGGCUGUGGGGCCUACUUGGGUUUUGCCUCCCUGGCCAAGAUGCCCGUUUGAUAAAGUUUUAAUCAUUAGAUGUUUUGUUAGUCCCGGUGGCAGGCAAGGAGAGGUCAGCUUAAUGUCCUACUGCUCUUGCCCUCCGUUUGCCUUUUGAGAGGCUGGAAAGGGAGAAGGGAGCUUGCACUGAAUUUGCCCCUUCCCCAGGUAAGCCAGGAGUGAGCGGGGAGGGCGAGGUUCAGGGCAGAGGACAGAGUCGCGGAGCCCCUUGCUCAGCCCCAUGCACCCGCUGGGGUCUCGCCAUCCCGCAGAGGAGCCCUCGGGGCGUCUCGCCCGGAGAGAACAAAUACCUGAGGGCACAAACAAAUACCUGAGGGCACAAAUACCUGACAGCGGGCGUCCGACGGAGCUGCUAGCCUCUCGCUUCCCCUGAUGCGAGAUGAAAAAGCCCUGAGCCUACAUUCUGUUUUGCCAGUCGCUGUUUCCUGUCACUCGCAAUGGCCUCUUCCCAGGAGGCAGCAUCUGGACUUUUUCCUUCUAUGUCAUUGCCAUGGGUAGAUGUUGACCUGGAUUCUCUGCUACAUAGUGGGCACACUGUGCUUCCCUCACAAGACACAGGCAGGCUGUAAGGAAGGAAUAUUUCUGGUGAAGUCAGUGGAGUUACCCGUGUGUAAUUCUGGAAUAAUCAAUUGGAGGCAACUACGGACUGCUCUGUGCACACAUGCUCAGUGUUUCUCGUGUACAGAGAACCUUGCUGUGUUGGAGCAUCUAUUCUUUUGGAGGAAUAUGAAGAAAGCAGAGAUAAUUCCAAAGUCUGUAUUUAACGCAAAAGAGCAUUGAACAAAAUACCUCAGCAGACUCUGAACUAGCUGUGGUUUUGGGAUGACCUGUUUUGCCUUUAAUAACACGGUGAAGAAGAUGUAUGCAUGCAUAAACGUGGACACACGCACAGGUAUAUCCAGGAGUCAUUCCUCUAACCUUCACUAUACUUCCCUUUUCCAGGAGGGCUGGAUUUUCUUUACUAGUCUUUUCCAACUGUGUUGUAAUUGCUGAAAGCAUCAGCAUAAAGUGCCAUCAACCAAAACGAAGUGAGGCAGACUCCCACAAGCUGCAAAACUUUGCAACACAAAGCCACAGUACAAAGAGUUUAGCUCUAUAGAAACCACAGUGAAUGCUACGAAGAAUCCCAGAAAACUUUGCACGAUGCUUCAAAAUGCACCACAGGGAUCCAGCGCUUGUUACCUCCUGACACCAUCUCUCUGUAAAGCAAAAAGCGUGCAGCGCUCCGUGCAGCGAUUACCCCGAGGUCCUACGCAUUCAGUGCUAACGUUGGAAAGUUUCAGAUCUCACAAAGAAGACAACAAGGAGCUUUGAUUGCCCCCGUUGAAGCUCCUGGUAAGGAACAGGUCACUUCCCUCCAAGCCUCUGAGCCUCGCUGUGUGGAUAUUUUCAUGCCCGCUUGACAGGUGACUGGUUUACCAGACAGGGUUGUCAGUGCUGCUGGGGGUUAUCUGGAUUUAGCUGUAGGCAGGAACUGGACCACAAUGAGCAUUAAAAAAGCUCGCUGUUCUUCGUUUGUUUAGAGACAAGCCAUCUCAAACUUGUUUGAAGCCUUUUUUAUUGAAUUCACACUCUUGUGCCAAGCACUGAAAGAUUUACUUUGGCUAUUGCUGCAAGAUGGAAAGCAUAUGAAUGCGUGGCUGGCUGCCAGCCGUGGGUGCGCAGUGAAAGCUCUGGUACAAUGGCCGGUUACAUGGAACAAAUGUGAAUGCGCUGGGCAGACGUGACUAAAGAAAGGCCUUGGCAUUCAAAGAACUGUUUGAGGUUUUAUCCAAGUGACUGAAGUAGGGUCAAGAGAUAACGCUUCUAACCUGCAAAGCUUUUUACUGCGCAGCAGCUGAAAAGUAGCGAGCUACAGGUACGUGUGCGUAUCACCUGAAGUCGCAGCUGCCUGGUGGUCCUCGCAGGCUCCAGCUCUUCCACAGAUGCCAUCUGCGAAGGCAAAGCCCCACUUGGACUUAUCCAGUGCGAGGCACCCCAACUGCUGUUGUGUAUUUCUUGCAGAUGUUGCCAUAAUUUUGUUGUGGUACAAUUUGACAUACGGCUCCCUGCUGCAUCCGAAAGGGGCACAUUAUCUCAAUUAAUGUUUCACAGCAAACGUGGCACUGAUAGUAUUCAUGGGACUAAAGACUAUUACCAUUUGCAUGGUGACUAGAACAAGAAUUAUGACUAUGUGUGUUUUCUGCAGCAAAAAUUUGCCCUUGGGCUCUUUUUUUUUUUUUUUUUUUUUUUUUCCUUUUUGGCUUGUGACAAUGUUCUCUUUUUCUUCCUCCUUCUGUUUUGAUUUCUACUUAAAGUUUUAUGGCUCUGUCCCCUCCAGGGUGCUAUUAUCUUGUAUGCUAAUAGGGCUAUGCAUAUUCUAUUAGCGUUGUCAGUGUGAGAUAAGAGGCACAUUCUGUAAGGAGCACUCAGGGGGUAAUAAUCACAGCAAGGGGUCUCAAUGUUAGUACAUUAUCAGUCAUCUUCACAUUUCAGUGGAGCCUGUUUAUGCACCUCUUCAGCUGCGCAACUCAGACACUGAAAAUUGCUGAAUGUUUACGGAAACUGUUGUAGAGGAACAUAAUGAGAUUUGAGAUUGACUUGAUAAAGGAGCCUUCUCCCUUGUUGCUUCCAGAUACAAGAUGUUUGGAACUGCAUGCAGUAAGUAGGAUAAUACGUUAUAUGGCAGUUAGCAGCUAAAAGCAGGCUCGGAUCUGUAUUCCAAGCAAUAGAGCAGCUAUCUAGGAAAAGAUUUCAUGAGGGUCCGCAUCGUUGUGCUUUCUUCAGAAAUUUCUGUCUCACUUUUCUACGUGGUAACACAUAAAUGAGCACACCUGGUUCACAUCAAUAGGAAGGCUGACAAUUUUUACACCCUUUAGUCAUGAACUUGAAUGAUUAUAAGUUGGUCCACAGCAAGAAAAUCAGCGACAGGAUGUGAAGGGCAAACGAGUGACCAUAUGCAGCGCUUAGUUAAAUAACAGUCCCUGGUUGUAGCAAUGGCCAGUGGCAUUUGAAAUAGGUGUCGUGCAAGUGUUUCUUCCAGCUAUUGAUGAUGCUAUGGGCUGGUGAGGGUGAGGCAGAGGCUUUGCUGCUGCUGGAAAUGUCUGUCGUUUCUCCCAGCUGACUUGUGCUCCCACCAAAUGGGGGACUUUGUAAUAAAUGCAGUGCCUGGUUUUGCAGACCACGGGAAAAUAGCCUAAUGAGGGAUGACACAAAAUACAGGGUGAAAAACUAAUCACAUAUUCAGAACGAAGGAGCAGACAGUUCUUGGGGACAGAGAGGGAACUUUUGCUGUAAAACUUUUCCUUUCUGCAAAUAAAAAACUAAACAUCCUGCCAUGGGCAAAGCUGUCAGGAGAGCCUUAAAAUGUUGCUCGGUAUAAAUAUGCAAAUUCCUAAAUGCAUAGAUGCCUAGUUAGAUGGUCUAAAAUUAAUUCCUGGGAAGCAGCAGCUAUAUGCUGGCUACAGCUGAACAACCAUAGCAAGAAGGAAAGUGCUAUGUUUUGGAUCACUUCUGUAGUACUUAAGAUUACACAUGGAUAUGAACGCUCCUUACUUUAAAAAUGUUUGUCCUUGACAUUUCCAGACACAUGGCUCACACCAAAUGUAUUCAGCUCCAUCUCCUGAGGGUCUUGAGAUUAAAACCCCUGCUUUCUCACCUUGUGAUCUGGCAUUAAUAGCUGAUAGAAAAAUCACAUACAUGACUGACAUCUUCCUAGAAAUGUGAGACUGUGGAAUUAAUGAAUGCCAUGCUGGAAAGCAGGGGUCAGUUUGGAAAUAGGAUUUCUGUUGCCAGCCAUCCAGUCAUGAACUGGACAAUCUGCCGUUCAUUUUUUUUCUUCAGCAUUGAGGAAAAUUGGUCUGGAGAAUAAAGCAGUCAGAAAAUAAGUAGCUAUGUUUCUUUGGCCACUGGAGGUUGAUGGACUUUUACGGCUUGUGGAAAUCAGGCUGACUUCUGGUUUACAGAAGAGCUGUUAGCACAUUCUUCGUGCCCUGCUAAGUUCUUUAUCCUGCUGUUAUCCACAGGAAGAAAAUUUGCAAAUCUGUAAAUCUGCAACUUCUAUAGGCUUGGGUGGCCCAAGGAACUGAUGGCCAGACAUUAUGGUAUUGUUAGACCAAUGACAGUGAUACAGCAGCACUAGGCAGCUGCGCUCCCAACCUCUGGAUGGUUGGUGAAAUGUCAGGGGAAAAGAUAUCCCUGCCCUACCUGGGGGAGAGGGGUAUUUCCAGCCCCAAAGUGCAUCAGCUGAUAGAGACAGCUGGAGAGAAGGGGCCAUGGAAAAGUCUGCUCCGUAUGAUUUUAAAUCACUUUCAGCAAGAUAAUACAUGUGGUGUACCUUAUCUGAUGUUUAGAGAUCCUCCCUGACCCCAGUGGUGCUAAUAUUGUUGCCUAUUUUCUACCUUUUCUGCUCCAUCUGUCUACAGUUUUGUCAACGCUGAUCUUGUCAAUGUGGCCACGAUGAAAUCACGUUUACUCAUGAAAUAAUAUCACUCGUAAAUGAAAUAGCACAGCCCCUGUACAACACUUUUCACUAGCAUGGACUUAAAUUGCUAGCAGCUCUGUGGAACUAGUGAUGAUCUCAAUGAAAAAAAUAAAAUAAAAUCAGCACUUUCUAGAAAGUA